rnacentral:lncRNA from 1 species
AAUGGAGAGUUGCGCAAAGUGAUUUGGGAUACCUCAGGAAUAAGGGGACAAGAUGGAUAUUUAAAUGACACGCCAUACCCUUUCCGUAGGUGCGUGGGACUAAAUCUCCCUGCACCAGCAUGGAUUAGAAUUAAUGGGGCCCAAAGAGAAAAUAAGAAUAUAAAGACUACAAUGAUCAUGUCCAAAGGUUUAUUGAUCCAAAACGAAAACAGAGAGUACAGAUCUGCCUGUUUGGAAUUAGAUGUUGACGGUAAUCCCUUUAUAUCAGAAGACAAACCCCUGCAUUGGCACCCAGGGGUUCUACCGCGUGACGUGAUGAUACCAAAUGGGGCCACAAUGGCAGAGGCUUUUGAAACUGAUACAACUGGCUUUUUGCCCUUGUAUGAGUUGCAUCCUCGAAUGGGAAUAGAGUUGUGGGAAGUGUUAAUCAACCCACAGGAUGGGGGGUGCCCAUUUUGGCUUUUCGGGCAGAGGUUAUUUUUAAUGACACCAGAACCUUCAGUGAGAUGGAACGAUAGGGAAAUGGCCGCUAGGCACCCCGAUUACAAAAAGCAAUCGGAAAGGAUAAGCUGGGGUUUACGAGGCAGCACACGCUGGUGCCACACGGGGAGGAGGUGGUCUGCUUCUAUGACAUGUGACAGGGUCAGAAUGGAAAGCGGCCCCCUGAACUCGCGGGAUCUUAGAUCCACUGAUUGCGGGGGUCCUGAUUUAACGUACUGGGGGGAUGCUUGGGUGCCCCGCAAUAAAAAAGUCUAUGAGACACCCUUGACCCUGGGGAAUUACCCCUAUCCGGACAGGGAUACUCCUUAUUUCUUCAGUGAAAUUACUGAGGGAAGGAUGAGUUACCUGAACCCCCAUCUUUACCUAAUGACGAGAGCAGAAGCAAGGAAAGUUAAUUUUACUGCACUCAGACAGGUGAGGGAGUUAGGCGAUGGAAUGGAGACAAUUAACAUCGGGAGUGACUACAUCUCGUUUUACCAGAAACGUUACCAAAAACAAAACAGAAAAAACAACAUCCUUGAAAAAAACAGAUGUGGGGAUAUGUCCAAAAUUCCUGCCGUGGCUCGGUUCCUGGCAUUAGGGUGGAGCAUGAGUGAUGAUAAAGACAUAGAAGAGAAACUUAGCAUUGAGGACGGGGAGGGAAGUGAUUCUUCUUCAGGAGAUGAAAAGGCUGGAGUUGGUUCCCCCGCUAAAAGACGAGGAGAGGAUGGAGAUGAUAUGGGUCCGGAGUGGAAAAAGGAGAGAAUGGCUCUGACUGAGGCCCUGUCUGUGUCACCUCCUCGUGCUGUCUCACAGUCUCCUGCGUGUAUGGAGAUGGAAUGGGAGAGAGAUGAC